rnacentral:tRNA from 1 species
GGCGGUUUGGCCAAGUGGUUAAGGCGAUUGACUCGAACAAAUAAAAUUUCUUAUAAGAAAAAUCUUUAUAAGAAAAUGUUCUUAAGGAAUCAAUUCUCUUCGGAGGCACACUCGAGUCGUGUAGCCGCCG